AGCUCUUGUGGUGACCUGGGAAUCAAUGUGUGAGGUGGUGCUAUGUAGCAGGAACCCCUCUUGCUUUGCAAAUAGUUUUUUGUUUGUUUUCCUUUUUGCCCAAUAGAGCCCUGCUCUACUGACCCUUCAAUGUGCCCGUGUGCCUAAAUAUUCCUGGUCGUGUGAAAAGAACCCAGGUAUUAGCUGAACUAAGGAGCACAAUUCUGCAACAUUUUGGCACCCAAACACGGGGCUUGAGAAAUGAAUGCAAUUGGAGAAACUGGUUGUUUUACCAGGCGUUGAUUGGAAAUGUGUGCUUCCCUUUAAGCAGUCAAGCUCAACUUGCAGAACUGAUGGGAACCCCUUGGGAAAACUGGCCUCAAAUGUUUGUCUACACAGUCCACAUACAGGGUUCUUAACCUGCGGUAGGUAAUGGUGUCCCAUACCACAGAACACUUCCCUCAGAUGCAUCCUUCUAACUGGGAGGAGUUAAUUUCUCAAACCGUAGACUAAUUGGCUUAGGAUUAGGUUCAGGGGAAGGGAACACAGAAACAUGACAUGCCAGCAAAAGGGUAAAAGGUUUUUUUUCCCCGUUGGGCUUUUGGCCUCUCUCUCCCUGUGCAAACUGGUAAAAGGCGUCUGGAUUUUCUAGUUGUCCUUACCCACUGCUUGUUUCGUUUUGAUACAUAUUUUCUAAUAACCUGUUUGUCUCUUCUCACUUUUAGGCCAUCAAACUCCAGUCUGCACCUGGAGCCUUGGAUGAUGGCCUUUUUUACUGGGAACCCUGAAAUAGGCCUCUGAGGGAAAUCUGAUUGCCAUUUUCCCAAAACAGCUUCCCUGACAAUAGGAAGCAAUUAAGAUUGGUCUUCAUCCUUAUCUUUAUCCUUAUUCUAAUGGCAGUUAGAGGUACUUCUUUAGAGGGGGGAAUGAGACAGCCAAAUGCCUAGGCAGAUAAAAAGGUGUACCUGGAAAAUUUCCAACCCGUCACACAAGUGUUUACAUCAGAUGCUUUUGUGUAGAUGAGGGAAACUUCCCAGGGCUUGUCUGGGUAUGCCCACAGUGGACUGGAGCCCAAAAUGCACACUGGAGGAAGUGGAUGGAGCCACGUGGAUGUCAUGCCUUAUGCAGGGGAGGAGCCUGCUCUCUUCAGCUCCUGUGGUAAUGUGGGAAUCGAUCUGUGAGGAAACACUUUCUGAAAAUGUCAGAACUCUUGAAAACAUGGAUGAGGAAAAGCAUAAGUACUGCUUUAUGCUUUUCUUAUGAAUUUUAAAAGAUGUAAUUUAAAGGUACUUUAAAGUGAUAUUUGUGCCCUUGUAACUGAUUCAAAGUAGACUGCUAAGGACAAUAAGUAAUAAGAGUCUACAAAUAUCAGUAAAUUAUGAGAAAAAACGGUCUAAUGGUACUUAAAAUUGCAUUGUGAUUUAUUAAAUAACAUUGAACAGCUCCACCUGUAACAUUAAGAUUCCAUUUGAGCAUAUAGAAAAUAUAUUUAUCGCAACCUGAAGUGAUUUGGAAAGUAUGCUGGGAAGAAAAUAUAUUUACAAAUUAGUCUCAGAGGGUAGGUAUCCUGUAGCCAGAUGGAAUAAGAAGAGAGGGAAGGGAGAUUUUGUUCAAAGGGGGAGCAUAAGCUAAGGAAUAAAGCCACAAACAAUGAUUAAAUUAGGUAAAGUGCAAUUAGCUGAAUAUUGCAUAAGCAUACAUAUGGGAAGAAGUGGAAAAAGGAGUGACAAUAUGAAGCUAAAGGGUUUGAAGUGUUCAAGAUAAUACUAGGCUUCCUAGCCUAUUCCGAGACAUCUUGUUUUAGAGUGCAAUAGAUAAGAACUCUAAGGAUGAAAGUAGGAGACAUGCAUUCUAGUCUACGUUUUGGUUAAUGGACUGAAAGUGAAAGAUGGACUGAAAUUGGGGGAUGGAAUAAAAAUGUGAUAGAAUAGAAAAUAGAAAAAGCAAUUAGCCUAAUGUCAUUGAUACUUAGAGAAAAUAUGGAAAAUAGUAAAUUAGUGAUAUAUAUCUUUUCUAAUUCACCAGGGUGAGUGAACAAAGGAAAUCGGAUUUAAAAGUAUUCAUGACAUAGAUGCAAUAAGGUUUCUCAGUCAGACAUAGCAAAUUGAGGGAAGGGAAGAUUUAGAGGAUUGGAAAAUGUCUUGCUUGUAGACUAAUAGGAUAUCAAUAAGCCAUAUGAGCAAUAAUUUGAAAUAGUUUUUGUAAAGUAUCAUGAAGGUAAACCCUGUUUAGAACAAAUUAGAUUUGAAGUACUUGUGACAAAUGCAAUUGACAAUGCCUUUAUGCAGCUGGAAAAUUGUUGCUUAGCAGAAAAGCUUGUGCUGGACAAAUAGAUGUCCAAAUUGAAUAGAUGUUUUCUUAAGCUGAACUAAUUGAGACAAAUAUCCUUAUUAAAUCAAAAAAUUAAAAAUUGAAAUAACUUACCUAUGAUAGGGUAAAUAAUGUUAUUAAUAUACACAAGAAAUAUGUGAUGUAUAUGUGUAUGUACAUAUGUAUACAUAGUAAUAAUACAUAGUGCUAUUUUUAAAUGAUAUUUUACAUAGUGCUUUUUUAAAUGAUUUUUCAAUCAUCGUUGUUGGUCUGUGUUAUUUUAAUCAUCAAAGCUGAUUGAUUUCUGUUUUUGUGUUUUUUUUUGUUUUUUUUGAGGUGGAGUCUCACUCUGUCACCCAUGGUGGAGUACAGUAGUGCGGUCUUAGCUCACUACAAACUCCACUUCCCUGAUUCAAGUAAUUCUUGUGCCUCAGCCUCUCGAGUAGCUUGGAUUGCAGGCAUGCACCACCACGAGCUGCUAAAUUUUUUGUAUUUUUUGUAGAGGGGUUUUGCCAUGUUGGCCAAGCUGGUCUCAAACUCCUGACCUCAAGUGAUCCGCCCUGGCUUCCCAAGCCCAGCUGAUUCCUGUUUAAAUAAAAACUUACAAAGAUCUUCCCACAAGUACUUUAUCUUACAAUUUACUGAACAAUAGAGGCAGUGAAGAUGUUUUUCAGAAAGCAAUUGUGAUCCUGACAUUUUCUUCUUAUAAUCCUGUGCUUUCCUCAUUUUUUUAUAUUAAAAGUAAUAGUUCUUGUGAUGGCAACUAGGAUUUGUAACAACAUGUACCCUCAUUUCCUGCAUGACCUUUUUUAUGUCACUUCUUCACAUGCAAAGUAUACUCCCUCAGUGUCAUUACAUUAUUUGAUUUUUGCCCUUUCCCUCACCUUUCCAUGUGUUUAUUUGCCUAUGCCCAUCUCCUAGUCACAUUUUAUCUAGUUAACGCCAACUUGACUUUCAAUGCUGUUCAAGAUUUACCUCAAUCUCAAGUGUUUUCUCUUUAUAUUCCAUACACGCUUAGCUUGGCUGCCAAUCCUCUUGGCUGCCAAAGAAUCCCAAAUUAUCUCUUUCAAAAAUACAAGAAAUAAAGGAUGGAGGAUAGGAAGGAGGGUGGUCAGGAAAGAACAAAGAAAGGAGGGGAGAGGAAAAAAAGAGAGAAAGAAAGAGAAUUAAAGUUAAGGAGGAAGAAUUUCACACUGAAUUAAAAUUGAUAAUAUUCAGGAAUGAUUUUAUAGUAGGCAUACAUUGAUAAAUAUUAGUUAAAUUAAUGAAUUAUUCCAAAAGAUCAUGAUUUGUAAAAAUUACCCUGAAGCACUUUAGGAAUAUUACAUUGAAAUAGGUAUGCAAUUUCUAAAGAAACUGGACUGCAAAAAUAGCCAUUGUGUGUACCUGUGGACCAGAAUAUUAUAUUUUGCUUAAGUUUGAAGUGUUAAAGUGCCCAACGUGCUCUUAUUUUAACCUAGCAAAUUUUCAGCAGAACUUAAGCUCAUAUAGUAUUUGAUUUUUUCAUUUCUCACAACUGUUGGAAUUCUGUUUUAUUGAAAAUUAUACAAUAAAAUGUUAAAAAAUCUUUGUUCCUGCAGUUAUGCAAUCUUAUGCCAAAGUCAAUAAAUUAUUAAAUUAAAAUCAAACCCACUAAGCCUAACAAUUUGAGAAAAUGAUUAUUAAAACAUAUACCAUUUAGAAGGGCAAUGCCUUUUUAAUAUUAUAGUGAAGACAACCCUAUCAAUUAUUUAAUACACCAAGAAUACAAGGAUAUAAAAUCUUUUUCUCUCAUAUAUCACAUUAUCUGAUGUAUUUAGCUGUGAUGACAUUCCAGAAAACAUCACUUUUUAAAAUUUCUAAGAUUUUAUUAUGUUGCUAGCAAAUCGAUUUUUUUCAAGUACUGUAACAAAAUCCCUAAAUGGGCUUUAUGAGAACUAUUUUCAGUGUGAUAUUAAUCAUAUUUUAUUUAUCAUCCAUACAUAGAUGGUAGCUUAUCUGGUAUUCCUAGUGUUUGAAGUGAAGAGUAACACACACACACAUCCCAAUACCAAUUUAAUUGAUAAAUAUAUAAUCAUUUGUUUUCAAAUAUUUAUGUUGAUACUUGCUUGUGUACUUACUUGUAAUGUAGGUCUGUAAAAGGGACUGUUUUCUUUCUGUGAAACUGAAGCUUAAAGCAGUGCUUGUCACAAAUUCAAAAUCACCUUGCUUUGUCAACAUUUUCAGAUGUUUUUGGCUCAGUCUGAUGACAGCAUCAGUGCAGUAAAGGGAUCUUAUUGAAAUGUUUUAACUAAAGAUAAAAUGCCACCACUAGGAGAAAAAUAAAAUCAAGGAAAUAAACAGAAAAUCAAUAAAUGUGAAAUGUAUUAUAAAUUUAUAUAAUAACAAUGUUGUAUGCUAUAAACAUCUCACUUUGUAAAAUUAACAAGAAUUCAGUGAGGCAGAUCAUUUUCUAUGUGUUCAGAAGUCAAGUCUUUGAUGGCUAAUUUUUAUAUUACUUCAUUACAAUAUCUCUACUGAAGCAAAAUAAUUGCAAAUCUUUUUGAAUGAAAUCAAUUUAUCUUUAAUUUUAGAUAAUAUUUGGUAUAGUUGGCAUAGUUUUGUCACAAAGCAUAGCUAACAUCAAUGUAGCCUUACGACUUCAAAUGUCUUUAUAGAUCUUUUCUGAAAUUGCAAAAUUUUACUUUGAAAUUAUUGUUAAUAUUUACGUUGCACAACCACAAAUGUAGAAAUAAAAUUAUAAAGUCUCCA
ensembl:lncRNA PURPL p53 upregulated regulator of p53 levels